AGGGUUCGAUUCUGGCUCAGGAUAAACGCUGGCGGCGUGCUUAACACAUGCAAGUCGAACGGGGUUAAUGACUCGGUUGUUAACCUAGUGGCGGACGGGUGAGUAACGCGUGGGUAACCUGCCCUGCAGAGGGGGACAACAGCUGGAAACGGCUGCUAAUACCGCAUACGCCGGUCAUACCGCAUGGUGGGACCGGGAAAGAUUCAUCGCCGCAGGAUGGACCCGCGUCUGAUUAGCCAGUUGGCGGGGUAACGGCCCACCAAAGCGACGAUCAGUAGCCGAUCUGAGAGGAUGUACGGCCACAUUGGGACUGAGACACGGCCCAGACUCCUACGGGAGGCAGCAGUGGGGAAUUUUGCGCAAUGGGGGGAACCCUGAUGCAGCGAACCGCCGCGUGAGUGAAGAAGUAUUUCGGUAUGUAAAGCUCUAUCAGCAGGGAAGAAGAUGACGGUACCUGCACAAGAAGCCCCGGCUAACUACGUGCCAGCCGCAGC
rnacentral:rRNA from 1 species